rnacentral:misc_RNA from 1 species
GAAAUGCGAUAAGUAGUGUGAAUUGCAGAAUUCAGUGAAUCAUCGAAUCUUUGAACGCACAUUGCGCCCUUUGGUAUUCCAAAGGGCAUGCCUGUUCGAGCGUCAUUUGUACCCUCAAGCUUUGCUUGGUGUUGGGCGUCUUGUCUCUAGCUUUGCUGGAGACUCGCCUUAAAGUAAUUGGCAGCCGGCCUACUGGUUUCGGAGCGCAGCACAAGUCGCACUCUCUAUCAGCAAAGGUCUAGCAUCCAUUAAGCCUUUUUUCAACUUUUGACCUCGGAUCAGGUAGUGAUACCCGCUGAACUUAAGC